GAUCAUGGCUCAGGAUGAACGCUGGCGGCGUGCCUAAUACAUGCAAGUAGAACGCUGAAGGAAGGAGCUUGCUCUUUCCGGAUGAGUUGCGAACGGGUGAGUAACGCGUAGGUAACCUGCCUGGUAGCGGGGGAUAACUAUUGGAAACGAUAGCUAAUACCGCAUAACAGUAGAUAUUGCAUGAUAUCUGCUUGAAAGGUGCAAUUGCAUCACUACCAGAUGG
rnacentral:rRNA from 1 species